rnacentral:rRNA from 1 species
AUGGGCGCCGGUGGGCUAGACGCCUCGCCGGUAGAAGCCGACGCCCUAGCACCCGGUGAAGAGAAGGCGGCCUGCGAGCUCUUGCUGGCUGGCGCGGCACCGGGCCCGUCGGCGAUAGGAAACACCACGGCCAUGGGCGCCGGUGGGCUAGCCGCCUCGCCGGUAGAAGCCGACGCCCUAGCACCCGGUGAAGAGAAGGCGGCCUGCGAGCUCUUGCUGGCUGGCGCGGCACCAGGCCCGUCGGCGAUAGGAAACACCACGGCCAUGGGCACCAGUGGGCUAGACGCCUCGCCGGUAGAAGCCCACGCCCUAGCACCCGGUGAAGAGAAGGCGGCCUGCGAGCUCUUGCUGGCUGGCGCGGCACCAGGACCGGACUUCCUCGACGCCGGGGCAGACGCGGCCUUCUUCGCGACCUCGGGCGCAUUGGCAGGUGCGGAGGCUGCGGGCGCCUUCGGCGACUCCGCGGGGGCCUGCGCGGCGCUGGCGGCUGCGACGGCGAGGACGAAGAAGAAGAUUACGACCGCGGCGCGCGCCAUUUUGUAUGGUUUUUGA